rnacentral:misc_RNA from 1 species
UCUCCGUUGGUGAACCAGCGGAGGGAUCAUUAAAGAGUUGCGAAACUCCCUAAAACCAUCGUGAACCUACCUAUCUCGUUGCCUCGGCGGGCGGCUCCGGCACCCGGAGACGUCACGCCCGCUUCCCCCUCCCCCGGGGGGCGCGGGGCGCCCGCCGUCGGCACCCGACACCCUGUAUUCAGUGGAUAUCUCUGAGUGAUGCUUCUAGCAAAUAAGUCAAAACUUUCAACAACGGAUCUCUUGGUUCUG